UUUCAACCAACUAGGAAUGAUUUAUACGUAUGCUCAUGCUUUCUUUCUUCUAUAGUGACUAUACAAAUCAUAUUUAAUCUAUACAGAAACCAAGUAAGUUAACACGACUGCACCGGUGGAGGUAAAUCGCCGCACGUGGCGGACACAAUCACUUUCCCGGCACGUUCUCCCGACUCUAUCAGCAUCAACACUACUUCCCUCAUCGUAGGUCGAUCAGACGGCGAAGCUUUAGUACAGAGCACAGCAAUUUUCGUAACCGUGAUCAUGUGAGCAAGAAUCACAUCGUCUUCUACCUUUGUUAAAUAAGGAUCAAGUAUCUCACAUGUCAAGGAAUGAUCUCUGAUAUGGUUUCUUGUCCACGUGGCAAGAUCUCCACCUUGGUCAAUCGGUUGAACCGGAGUCUUUCCGGUUAACAACUCAAGAAGUACAACUCCGAAGCUGUAGAUAUCGCAUUUCUCCGUUACUUUCAUUGUGUAUGCAUACUCUGCAAAACAAAAUAAACCGGUUUUGAGGUUAAGUCCGGUUAAUCUAAAUAUCUAAACCGUAAGAACAUACUUGUUUGAUAUUACCGGUUAUCCCAGAAUCUAAUUGUCUAAACCGUAAGAUCAUUAACGUUUCGAGAUUAACAUCCGUUAAUUCAAAAUCUAAAUGUCUAAACAGUAAGAUAAUACAUGUUUUGAGAUUAAUCCCGGUUGACUAAGAAUCUAAAUGUCUAAACCGCAACAACAUAACCCCGGUUAACUCAGAAUCUAAAUGUCUAAACCGUAAAAAAAUACCGGUUUUGAGAUUAAACCCGGUUAACCAAUUCUCUAAACCGUAAAACCAAACCGGUUUUGAGAUUAGCCACGGUCAAUUCAGAAUCUAAAUCUCUAAACCGUAGGAACAAACCCGUUUUGAGAUUAGUUAACUCAGAAUAUAAAUGUCUAAACGGUAGGAACAUACCGGGAGCAAUGUAACCAUAUGAACCAGCAACGGCUGAGACAGAUUUGGACACUGGCAUGUCAAUGACCUUAGCCAAACCAAAAUCUCCGACAUGAGCUUCAAAGUUCUCAUCAAGCAAAAUGUUGUUAGACUUGAUGUCACGGUGAAUGAUCCUCGGUUUACAAUCAUGAUGCAAGUAAGCAAGACCUUCCGCCGCACCGAGCGCGAUCCCAAACCGAGUCGGCCAGUCAAGACCAUACGACUUCCCUCCGUGCAGAAUCUCACCCAAGCUUCCUCGAGACAUGUACUCGUACAGCAAGAGAUUCGAGUUCGAGACCUGGUGGUAACAGAAACUGUACAGCCUCACAAUGUUCCUGUGCCGGAUCUUUCCUAGCGUAAGAAUCUCCGCGCGGAAACUGUUAUCCGUGUUAUUGUUGUUACCGCCUUCUCUAUUCGAUCCGAGCUUUUUAACCGCGAUGGUUUUACCCGACGGCAUAACCGCUUUGUAAACCGUCCCGCACGCUCCUUUACCGAUGAUGUAGCUUUCGUGGAACCCCUUCGUCGCCUCGAGGAUGUCUUUAACGGUGAACCGUUCUUUCGGGACGAAGUAGAUGUCAGAUUCUUCGAAAAACGGUUCCUUGUCGCGCACGUAAGGAGGCUUUGUACCCUCCACAGGGUGUUGUCUAAGGAAAUGAACCACGAUAGCUAUGAGGAAAAGAGAUACACCGCCGACGACGGAAGACAAGAUGACAAUGAUCCUCCGGCGACGCGCGGAGCCUGAUCUGAGAGGCGAAAGGUUACUCCAAGAAGAGAGGUUAGAGUCGCAGCUUCUCAAAUGCCCGCCGCAGAGUCCUUUAUCUCCGAGGAAGCUAGUUAGAGUCAUGUUUUGAAAGAGCGGCGUGAGCGGAAGCGGGCCGGUCAAGUUGUUGUAGGAGAAGUUGCAGCCGAGUAGGCUCGAUAAGUUCUCGAACGUCGUCGGGAUCUCGCCGCUCAAGUGGUUGUUGUUAAGAGAAAGGUACAUAAGUAGAUAAAGAUUCCCGAGCUCAGGCGGUAUCUGACCGCUGAAGUCGUUGUAGCUCAAGUUCAUCGCGAUUUGGAGACUCGAGAGGGAGCCUAGCUGAGGCGGUAUGCUCCCUGAAAACAAGUUUCCACCCAUCUGUAGCUCGGUUAGAUGCGUGAGGUUACCGAUGGUGAACGGUAUGUAGCCGGAUAAUCUAUUGUCGUUGAGUCUGAGGAUCUCUAGCUGAUGUAAGCUUCCUAGCUCGCAUGGUAAAUGACCGACGAAACUGUUCCGGCUCAGGUCGAGUCGUUGAAGCAUCUUGCAGUUGGAGAUCUCCGAAGGGAUAGGUCCGGUUAGAGAGUUUGACGAGACGUUGAAAGUGACUAAGUUGGAGAGUUUGCUGAUUUCUUUAGGUAGGCUUGAGGAGAACCGGUUAGCUGCGAGGUGAAGCCUUUGAAGCUUCUGGCAAAUCUCUAUCUUGGCAGGUAACGGUCCGCUAAACCGGUUUUGAUCCAGCUCAAUAGCCGAGAGAUUCACAAGCUUGCAUAAAUCUGUUGGGAACUGACCGGUUAGUCGGUUCCCAACUACUCUAAGCUGCUGGAGCGGUUUGCAGGUCAGGACACCCGGCGGGAUUUCUCCGAAUAUCCGGUUCGAACCGAGAUUCAAUAAGAUGAGAUUCGAUUGGUUGCAGAUAGAAGGCGGUAUCUUCCCUGAGAGCUGGUUCUCCGAGAAGUCAACAACCCAUAGAGGACUGUACAUGCCGAGACCCUGAGGGAUCACGCCGCUGAGGGAGUUGUGGAAGAGCUGAAGCUGACGCAUCGAAGUGAGAUUCUCGAAACCGGACGGUAUAGGACCGGUUAAGGAGUUAAUUGAGAGAUCAAGCUUCGCAAGAUUCUUCAAGCUGCUAACCUCGUUUGGUAUGGUUCCGGUUAACUUGUUCUGAAACAAAUACAACAGCUUCAGCUCACUGAUCUUGCUCAGCUCAACUGGGAUCUCUCCUGUCAACAUAUUCUCCGAAAAAUCGAUCUCCAUCGCUCUCGUAAGGUUCCCAAUCUCCCUUGGGAUAGUCCCAUUCAGAACAAAAAAAUUCUAAUAUUAUUUCAAGUUUUCAACCAACUAGGAAUGAUUUAUACGUAUGCUCAUGCUUUCUUUCUUCUAUAGUGACUAUACAAAUCAUAUUUAAUCUAUACAGAAACCAAGUAAGUUAACACGACUGCACCGGUGGAGGUAAAUCGCCGCACGUGGCGGACACAAUCACUUUCCCGGCACGUUCUCCCGACUCUAUCAGCAUCAACACUACUUCCCUCAUCGUAGGUCGAUCAGACGGCGAAGCUUUAGUACAGAGCACAGCAAUUUUCGUAACCGUGAUCAUGUGAGCAAGAAUCACAUCGUCUUCUACCUUUGUUAAAUAAGGAUCAAGUAUCUCACAUGUCAAGGA
rnacentral:lncRNA from 1 species